UGACCUGAGUAAUAUCAGUUCUAUGCUUUCACUUUAUUAUCUCAGUCCCAGGUAGCUGGACAGUACUGGACCCAUCACAAUUUCAAUACUGGGAAGAGAAAAGCCAGUCCUCUGGGGAAAGAUGAAGCACUGGACCUACAAACUAACUACUUUCAACCCCUGGAUGAAUCUAGGAGCAGAUUAGUCCCGAUAUCAAGGCAAUGUCAAGAGUGAAGGGGAGGAUCAAGAUUUUUUUUGAGUGAUUGUUUCCUGGAAGGAGAAAAAAAAAUAACAAGAAAAUGACCAUGGAAAGUAACAACAACUGAAAACGGAUAAAAUGAAGAUGUGUGAAAGAGCACAAGAGUGCAAAACCAAAAGUAUACAAGGAGUGUUUAUGCAGUAACCACUUUAGAAUGCCUUUCCUCAUGUUUGAAGACUUCUAAACUAGGGCAAGGACAGAUCCCAGCAACUACUGGAAGCAUAAUAAAGGAGAAGAAUGAGGCAUUUUCUUCUCUCAUAUACAGAUUAUAUGUAAUUAGGAUGCUAAGGAUAAUUUUGUAACAUAAAAACGGAGAUGCUAAGGAGAAUGGUUUCACCCUAGUUUAUAGAAGGAGGGUAUACUAUGGUCUAUCAAAGACUGAAAAUUGUCCUCUGCUAAUAAAGUCUCAAAUCAGGGCAAUUGGAUUUCUUUCUUUUUUUUUUUUUAUUAUACUUUAAGUUUUAGGGUACAUGUGCACAAUGUGAAGGUUUGUUACAUAUGUAUACAUGUUCCAUGUUGGUGUGCUGCACCCAUUAACUCAUCAUUUACAUUAGGUAUAUCUCCUAAUGCUAUCCCUCCCCACUCUCCCAGCCCCACAACAGGUCCUGGUGUGUGAUGUUCUCCUUCCUGUGUCCAUGUGUUCAAUUCCCACCUAUGAGUUGAGUUAGAGUUACUAGUCUCAAAUAAAUGCUUGGUAAUGCCAUACAAUCUAAACAUGUUGUCACUGUCAACUCACUAUCUCAUAUUCUGCAAUGAUACCCUUCUAUAUUCUGAAAUUCCUUCCCCAUUCUCAGCAGAUAGCCUCAGAUCAUAUAUCAUACACACAAUUGAACAUAUCACAUAGAAAUUUCAUCAGCUCACUGCCUCCAAUCCAAUGAACCUAACAUCUACUAACAUCAACACCAUCCAGGAAACCAUGACCUCACCAGAUGAACUAAAUAAGGCACCAGGGAAAAAUACCAGUGAAACAGAGACAUGUGACCUUUCAGACAGAUAAUUCAAAAUAGCUGUGUUGAGGAAACUCAAAUUCAAGAUGAUACAGAGAAGGAAUUCAGAAUUAGAUAAAUUUAACAAAGAGAUUGAAAUAAUUAAGAAUCAAGCAGAAAUUCUGGAGCUGAAAAACGCAACUGGCGUAUUGAGAAAUGCACCAGAGUCUCUUAAUAGCAGAACUGAUCAAGCAGAAGAAUGAAUUAGUGAUGUUGAAGACAGACUAUUGGAAAUGCACAGUCAGAAGAGAAAAAAGAAAAAACAAUGAAGCACGCCUACAGGAUCUAAAAAAUAGCCCCCAAAGGGCAAAUCUAAGAGUUACUGGCCUUAAAGAGGGGGGGCUCAACACCCAAGUACAAAAAGGUUAGAGAACACCAAGUAGAUUUAAUCUAAAGAAGACUACCUUGAAUCGUUUAACAAUUAAACUCCCAAAGGUCAAGGAUAAAGAAAGGAUACUAAAAGAACCAAGAGAAAAGAAACAAGUAACAUACACUAGAGCUCCAGUACACCUGGUAGCAGACUUUUCAGUGGAAACCUUACACACCAGGAGAGUGACAUGGCAUAUUUAAAGUGCUAAAGGGUGGAAAAAAAGCCUUUUACCCUGGA
rnacentral:lncRNA from 1 species